CCCUUAGAUGUCCUGGGCCGCACGCGCGCUACACUGACAUGUUCAACAAGCCUCCUAGUUCGACAGGAUUUGGGAAAUCUUUGAACGCAUGUCGUGAUAGGGAUAGAUCAUUGCAAUUAUUGAUCUUGAACGAGGAAUUCCUAGUAAACGCGAGUCAUCAGCUCGCGUUGAUUACGUCCCUGCCCUUUGUACACACCGCCCGUCGCUACUACCGAUUGAACGGUUUAGUGAGGGCCUCGGAUUGGUCUCGGCCCGCUCUUUACCGGGCGGCGCCGUUGGUCGAGAAGACGCUCGAACUUGAUCGUUUAGAGGAAGUAAAAGUCGUAACA
rnacentral:rRNA from 1 species